AGAGUUUGAUCAUGGCUCAGAUUGAACGCUGGCGGCAGGCCUAACACAUGCAAGUCGAACGGUAACAGGAAGCAGCUUGCUGUUUCGCUGACGAGUGGCGGACGGGUGAGUAAUGUCUGGGAAACUGCCUGAUGGAGGGGGAUAACUACUGGAAACGGUAGCUAAUACCGCAUAACGUCGCAAGACCAAAGAGGGGGACCUUCGGGCCUCUUGCCAUCGGAUGUGCCCAGAUGGGAUUAGCUUGUUGGUGGGGUAACGGCUCACCAAGGCGACGAUCCCUAGCUGGUCUGAGAGGAUGACCAGCCACACUGGAACUGAGACACGGUCCAGACUCCUACGGGAGGCAGCAGUGGGGAAUAUUGCACAAUGGGCGCAAGCCUGAUGCAGCCAUGCCGCGUGUAUGAAGAAGGCCUUCGGGUUGUAAAGUACUUUCAGCGGGGAGGAAGGGAGUAAAGUUAAUACCUUUGCUCAUUGACGUUACCCGCAGAAGAAGCACCGGCUAACUCCGUGCCAGCAGCCGCGGUAAUACGGAGGGUGCAAGCGUUAAUCGGAAUUACUGGGCGUAAAGCGCACGCAGGCGGUUUGUUAAGUCAGAUGUGAAAUCCCCGGGCUCAACCUGGGAACUGCAUCUGAUACUGGCAAGCUUGAGUCUCGUAGAGGGGGGUAGAAUUCCAGGUGUAGCGGUGAAAUGCGUAGAGAUCUGGAGGAAUACCGGUGGCGAAGGCGGCCCCCUGGACGAAGACUGACGCUCAGGUGCGAAAGCGUGGGGAGCAAACAGGAUUAGAUACCCUGGUAGUCCACGCCGUAAACGAUGUCGACUUGGAGGUUGUGCCCUUGAGGCGUGGCUUCCGGAGCUAACGCGUUAAGUCGACCGCCUGGGGAGUACGGCCGCAAGGUUAAAACUCAAAUGAAUUGACGGGGGCCCGCACAAGCGGUGGAGCAUGUGGUUUAAUUCGAUGCAACGCGAAGAACCUUACCUGGUCUUGACAUCCACAGAACUUUCCAGAGAUGGAUUGGUGCCUUCGGGAGCUGUGAGACAGGUGCUGCAUGGCUGUCGUCAGCUCGUGUUGUGAAAUGUUGGGUUAAGUCCCGCAACGAGCGCAACCCUUAUCCUUUGUUGCCAGCGGUCCGGCCGGGAACUCAAAGGAGACUGCCAGUGAUAAACUGGAGGAAGGUGGGGAUGACGUCAAGUCAUCAUGGCCCUUACGACCAGGGCUACACACGUGCUACAAUGGCGCAUACAAAGAGAAGCGACCUCGCGAGAGCAAGCGGACCUCAUAAAGUGCGUCGUAGUCCGGAUUGGAGUCUGCAACUCGACUCCAUGAAGUCGGAAUCGCUAGUAAUCGUGGAUCAGAAUGCCACGGUGAAUACGUUCCCGGGCCUUGUACACACCGCCCGUCACACCAUGGGAGUGGGUUGCAAAAGAAGUAGGUAGCUUAACCUUCGGGAGGGCGCUUACCACUUUGUGAUUCAUGACUGGGGUGAAGUCGUAACAAGGUAACCGUAGGGGAACCUGCGGUUGGAUCACCU
rnacentral:rRNA from 6 species